UGUGAGCUCGAUGAGUAGGGCGGGACACGUGGUAUCCUGUCUGAAUAUGGGGGGACCAUCCUCCAAGGCUAAAUACUCCUGACUGACCGAUAGUGAACCAGUACCGUGAGGGAAAGGCGAAAAGAACCCCGGCGAGGGGAGUGAAAAAGAACCUGAAACCGUGUACGUACAAGCAGUGGGAGCACGCUUAGGCGUGUGACUGCGUACCUUUUGUAUAAUGGGUCAGCGACUUAUAUUCUGUAGCAAGGUUAACCGAAUAGGGGAGCCGAAGGGAAACCGAGUCUUAACUGGGCGUUAAGUUGCAGGGUAUAGACCCGAAACCCGGUGAUCUAGCCAUGGGCAGGUUGAAGGUUGGGUAACACUAACUGGAGGACCGAACCGACUAAUGUUGAAAAAUUAGCGGAUGACUUGUGGCUGGGGGUGAAAGGCCAAUCAAACCGGGAGAUAGCUGGUUCUCCCCGAAAGCUAUUUAGGUAGCGCCUCGUGAAUUCAUCUCCGGGGGUAGAGCACUGUUUCGGCAAGGGGGUCAUCCCGACUUACCAACCCGAUGCAAACUGCGAAUACCGGAGAAUGUUAUCACGGGAGACACACGGCGGGUGCUAACGUCCGUCGUGAAGAGGGAAACAACCCAGACCGCCAGCUAAGGUCCCAAAGUCAUGGUUAAGUGGGAAACGAUGUGGGAAGGCCCAGACAGCCAGGAUGUUGGCUUAGAAGCAGCCAUCAUUUAAAGAAAGCGUAAUAGCUCACUGGUCGAGUCGGCCUGCGCGGAAGAUGUAACGGGGCUAAACCAUGCACCGAAGCUGCGGCAGCGACAGAAGGUGUGCUGUGAGGCAUGCUGGAGGUAUCAGAAGUGCGAAUGCUGACAUAAGUAACGAUAAAGCGGGUGAAAAGCCCGCUCGCCGGAAGACCAAGGGUUCCUGUCCAACGUUAAUCGGGGCAGGGUGAGUCGACCCCUAAGGCGAGGCCGAAAGGCGUAGUCGAUGGGAAACAGGUUAAUAUUCCUGUACUUGGUGUUACUGCGAAGGGGGGACGGAGAAGGCUAUGUUGGCCGGGCGACGGUUGUCCCGGUUUAAGCGUGUAGGCUGGUUUUCCAGGCAAAUCCGGAAAAUCAAGGCUGAGGCGUGAUGACGAGGCACUACGGUGCUGAAGCAACAAAUGCCCUGCUUCCAGGAAAAGCCUCUAAGCAUCAGGUAACAUCAAAUCGUACCCCAAACCGACACAGGUGGUCAGGUAGAGAAUACCAAGGCGCUUGAGAGAACUCGGGUGAAGGAACUAGGCAAAAUGGUGCCGUAACUUCGGGAGAAGGCACGCUGAUAUGUAGGUGAAGUCCCUCGCGGAUGGAGCUGAAAUCAGUCGAAGAUACCAGCUGGCUGCAACUGUUUAUUAAAAACACAGCACUGUGCAAACACGAAAGUGGACGUAUACGGUGUGACGCCUGCCCGGUGCCGGAAGGUUAAUUGAUGGGGUUAGCCGCAAGGCGAAGCUCUUGAUCGAAGCCCCGGUAAACGGCGGCCGUAACUAUAACGGUCCUAAGGUAGCGAAAUUCCUUGUCGGGUAAGUUCCGACCUGCACGAAUGGCGUAAUGAUGGCCAGGCUGUCUCCACCCGAGACUCAGUGAAAUUGAACUCGCUGUGAAGAUGCAGUGUACCCGCGGCAAGACGGAAAGACCCCGUGAACCUUUACUAUAGCUUGACACUGAACAUUGAGCCUUGAUGUGUAGGAUAGGUGGGAGGCUUUGAAGUGUGGACGCCAGUCUGCAUGGAGCCGACCUUGAAAUACCACCCUUUAAUGUUUGAUGUUCUAACGUUGACCCGUAAUCCGGGUUGCGGACAGUGUCUGGUGGGUAGUUUGACUGGGGCGGUCUCCUCCUAAAGAGUAACGGAGGAGCACGAAGGUUGGCUAAUCCUGGUCGGACAUCAGGAGGUUAGUGCAAUGGCAUAAGCCAGCUUGACUGCGAGCGUGACGGCGCGAGCAGGUGCGAAAGCAGGUCAUAGUGAUCCGGUGGUUCUGAAUGGAAGGGCCAUCGCUCAACGGAUAAAAGGUACUCCGGGGAUAACAGGCUGAUACCGCCCAAGAGUUCAUAUCGACGGCGGUGUUUGGCACCUCGAUGUCGGCUCAUCACAUCCUGGGGCUGAAGUAGGUCCCAAGGGUAUGGCUGUUCGCCAUUUAAAGUGGUACGCGAGCUGGGUUUAGAACGUCGUGAGACAGUUCGGUCCCUAUCUGCCGUGGGCGCUGGAGAACUGAGGGGGGCUGCUCCUAGUACGAGAGGACCGGAGUGGACGCAUCACUGGUGUUCGGGUUGUCAUGCCAAUGGCACUGCCCGGUAGCUAAAUGCGGAAGAGAUAAGUGCUGAAAGCAUCUAAGCACGAAACUUGCCCCGAGAUGAGUUCUCCCUGACUCCUUGAGAGUCCUGAAGGAACGUUGAAGACGACGACGUUGAUAGGCCGGGUGUGUAAGCGCAGCGAUGCGUUGAGCUAACCGGUACUAAUGAACCGUGAGGCUUAACCUUACAACGCCGAAGGUGUUU
rnacentral:rRNA from 1 species